rfam:Natranaerobius trueperi strain DSM 18760 ZB100019, whole genome shotgun sequence.
GUGGAGGUGACUCUAUCAUCUGAAGGAAGUCAGCGGCAAAUUUUCGCCCCGAGGGACACAAAUCUCAUACACUCCAAGCAAACUGAAGAGUCUCGAAUCGUGGUUAAGUCGUAGGUUGAGAAUCUUAUUUCACUUGAAGUUUCUUCAUGUAAAGCGUAUGAAUGGGGUAAUUCCCGGAAAGCUUAUAGGC